rnacentral:rRNA from 1 species
UUUUACACAAGGUUGACCUCGGAUCAGGUAGGAAUACCCGCUGAACUUAAGCAUAUCAAUAAGCGGAGGAAAAGAAACCAACAGGGAUUGCCCCAGUAACGGCGAGUGAAGCGGCAACAGCUCAAAUUUGAAAUCUGGCUUCGGCCCGAGUUGUAAUUUGUAGAGGAUGCUUUUGGUGAGGUGCCUUCUGAGUUCCCUGGAACGGGACGCCAGAGAGGGUGAGAGCCCCGUAUAGUUGGACACCGAGCCUCUGUAAAGCUCCUUCGACGAGUCGAGUAGUUUGGGAAUGCUGCUCAAAAUGGGAGGUAUAUCUCUUCUAAAGCUAAAUACUGGCCAGAGACCGAUAGCGCACAAGUAGAGUGAUCGAAAGAUGAAAAGCACUUUGAAAAGAGGGUUAAAUAGUACGUGAAAUUGUUGAAAGGGAAGCGCUUGUGACCAGACUUGUGCCCGGCUGAUCAUCCAGUGUUCUCACUGGUGCACUCUGCCGGGCUCAGGCCAGCGUCGGUUCUCGCAGGGGGACAAAAGCUUCGGGAACGUAGCUCCUCCGGG